rnacentral:rRNA from 1 species
GACGAACCGAGCGAACGUUGUUCGGAAUCACUGGGCUUAAAGGGCGCGUAGGCGGGUUCUCAAGUCCGGGGUGAAAUCCCACAGCUCAACUGUGGAACUGCCUCGGAUACUGGGGGCCUCGAGGGUGGUAGGGGUAUGCGGAACUAUCGGUGGAGCGGUGAAAUGCGUUGAUAUCGAUAGGAACUCCGGUGGCGAAGGCGGCAUACUGGGCCACAUCUGACGCUGAGGCGCGAAAGCCAGGGGAGCAAACGGG